UUCCGGUUGAUCCCGCCGGACCCGACUGCUAUCAGAGUGGGACUAAGCCAUGCGAGUCAACGUAGCAAUACGUGGCAUACGGCUCAGUAACACGUAGUCAACAUGCCCAGGGGACGAGGAUAACCUCGGGAAACUGAGGAUAAACCUCGAUAGGCCAUGAUUUCUGGAAUGAUUCUUGGCUCAAACCUAUAUGGCCCCUGGAUUGGACUGCGGCCGAUCAGGCUGUUGGUGAGGUAAUGGCCCACCAAACCUAUUACCGGUACGGGCUCUGAGAGGAGGAGCCCGGAGAUGGGCACUGAGACAAGGGCCCAGGCCCUAUGGGGCGCAGCAGGCGCGAAACCUCUGCAAUAGGCGAAAGCUUGACAGGGUUACUCUGAGUGAUUUCCGCUAAGGGAAUCUUUUGGCACCUCUAAAAAUGGUGCAGAAUAAGGGGUGGGCAAGUCUGGUGUCAGCCGCCGCGGUAAUACCAGCACCCCGAGUGGUCGGGACGUUUAUUGGGCCUAAAGCAUCCGUAGCCGGUUCUACAAGUCUUCCGUUAAAUCCACCUGCUUAACAGAUGGGCUGCGGAAGAUACUAUAGAGCUAGGAGGCGGGAGAGGCAAGCGGUACUCGAUGGGUAGGGGUAAAAUCCGUUGAUCCAUUGAAGACCACCAGUGGCGAAGGCGGCUUGCCAGAACGCGCUCGACGGUGAGGGAUGAAAGCUGGGGGAGCAAACCGGAUUAGAUACCCGGGUAGUCCCAGCUGUAAACGAUGCAGACUCGGUGAUGAGUUGGCUUAUUGCUAACUCAGUGCCGCAGGGAAGCCGUUAAGUUUGCCGCCUGGGGAGUACGGUCGCAAGACUGAAACUUAAAGGAAUUGGCGGGGGAGCA
rnacentral:rRNA from 1 species